AGAACGAACGCUGGCGGCAUGCCUAACACAUGCAAGUCGGACGCUUUCGGGGGUUUCGGCCUCCGAGGGAGUGGCGGACGGGUGAGUAGCGCGUGGGAACCUGCCCCUUUGUGGGGGAUAACCGAGGGAAACUUCGGCUAAUACCGCAUGCGCCCGGGGGUAACUCCGGGGAAAGAUUUAUCGCCGGAGGAUUGGCCCGCGUUCGAUUAGCUAGUUGGUGAGGUAACGGCUCACCAAGGCGAUGAUCGAUAGCUGGUCUGAGAGGAUGAUCAGCCACAUUGGGACUGAGACACGGCCCAAACUCCUACGGGAGGCAGCAGUGGGGAAUAUUGGACAAUGGGCGCAAGCCUGAUCCAGCCAUGCCGCGUGAGUGAUGACGGCCUUAGGGUUGUAAAGCUCUUUCGCUCGGGACGAUAAUGACGGUACCGAGAUAAGAGCCCCGGCUAACUUCGUCGCCAGCAGCCGC
rnacentral:rRNA from 1 species